UCCCUGGUGGCUCAGACGGUAAAGUGUCUGUCUACAAUGCAGGAGACCCAGGUUCGAUCCCUGGGUGGGGAA
rnacentral:tRNA from 1 species